rnacentral:rRNA from 1 species
GACGAACGCUGGCGGCGUGCUUAACACAUGCAAGUCGAACGGUGAUGCUCCAGCUUGCUGGAGUGGAUCAGUGGCGAACGGGUGAGUAACACGUGAGCAACCUGCCCCAGACUCUGGAAUAAGCGCUGGAAACGGCGUCUAAUACUGGAUACGAAACUGGCCCGCAUGGGCAUGGUUUGGAAAGUUUUUCGGUUUGGGAUGGGCUCGCGGCCUAUCAGCUUGUUGGUGAGGUAAUGGCUCACCAAGGCGACGACGGGUAGCCGGCCUGAGAGGGCGACCGGCCACACUGGGACUGAGACACGGCCCAGACUCCUGCGGGAGGCAGCAGUGGGGAAUAUUGCACAAUGGGCGAAAGCCUGAUGCAGCGACGCCGCGUGAGGGAUGACGGCCUUCGGGUUGUAAACCUCUUUCAGCAGGGAAGAAGCGAAAGUGACGGUACCUGCAGAAGAAGCACCGGCUAACUACGUG